AUUCCUACGGGGGGCAGCAGUAGGGAAUUUUCGGCAAUGGGGGGAACCCUGACCGAGCAACGCCGGAUGAAGGAAGAAGGAAUUCGUUCUGUAAACUUCUGUUAUAAAGGAAGAAAGACGGAUGGAGGAAAUGACAUCCGAGUGACGGUACUUUAUGAGAAAGCCACGGCUAACUACGCGCCAGCAGCCGCGGUAAUACGUAGGUGGCAAGCGUUAUCCGGAAUUAUUGGGCGUAAAGAGGGAGCAGGCGGCAGCAAAGGUAUGUGGUGAAGGACUGAAGCGUAACUUCAGUAAGC
rnacentral:rRNA from 1 species